UGUUGAUUAUGAUUUUCAAAUACGGUUUUAUCCAAGGCAUAGUUUUGGGCCCAGGUGACAUUUCCCCAUCCUGCACUCCAGCUGGAUUCUUCAUUAGCCUCUGCAUUCAUUCCCUAGGGCUGCUGUGAAAGAUGACCACAAACUAGGUGGCUUAAAACAACAAAAAUUUAUUCUCUCACAGUUCUGGAGGCCAUAAGUUUGAAAUCAAGGUGCCAGCAGGGUUGGUUCCUUCUGGAGGAGCCUAUGAAGGAGGCUUCCAUUCUUUUCUUCUUUGCAUGUCUUCUCUUCUUAGGAAGACACCAGCCACUGGAUUCAGAGUCUACCCCAAUCCGGUAUGACCGCAUGUUAAGUGGGAACAUUAGCAGAGACUCCAUUUCCAAAUAAGGUUACAUUCUGAGGUGCUGGGUGGACAUGAAUUAUUUCGGGCAACCAUUCAGCCCAUUGCGGUCUCUCUGCCUUCGGACUCCUCUUUCUACCUGUCCAUGCCAUGGACCCUGUGGGAGUCAUUUUUUUUAACCUUCCUGUAGUGGAACCACCCCACCCCUGCUUUCAAGCCCUUCAAGGACUCCCCACUGCCAACAGAAUAAAGUCUUAUCUCUUUAGCUCAACUUAUGGAGACUCACCAUAGUCUGGCCCCUAUGAUCUUUUCUACAUUCCAUUUCUCCAUUUCUCCUACACACUCCCUACCAUCCCUGGGAAAGGUCUUCUAUGUUGUUGAACAUGCUGUGGAUGCUCUUUUCUCCUUCCUCCUUCUGUCUAUUGCUGAGACGCUCUUUUUCUCGAACACCCGUGUCAUAUAUCUUUCCUUGUUCAUGAGGACGUUUCUAGCCAGCCCAUGUCAAAGGGCUCACCUCUCUCCACAGACCAACCCUAGCCCACACGGUGCACCAUUCCUCAGUCUGUAGUGUGGCUGUCCUCUACUGGUGACAUUUCCAUUUUCCAUUUCCAUUUUACCCAGGGGCAAGCCUGUGUGCUAUACUUCUUUGGGUCCUUGGUUUUGACAAUGGUGUUCGGAACAGGUGGCUUCAUGGUCAAUGAUUUUGUAUGCUGCUGCUGGUGUGAGCAUGCUGAAUUGCUCCAUGCCUGCAGCUCCCUCUAAAACUGAUGGAGAGCCCUGUGCUGAGAUGAAAUGGGGGGAAAGGAGAAAUUUGUUGCCACUUUGAGAGUCAAAGGCAGUGGUCUUUCCAAGGAAGAGUGAACUAGCAGAAUCACUGCAGGAGAAGCAAAUUCUGGAGGCUGGAUGCCAAGAGGUGCUGUAAGAAAAGUUGUAAAGAUAUAUGUGGGGGAAACCACUGCUCCCAUCCCCCUUGGGAGACAAUUGGUAAACAAUAUAGUUGGCAAAGGAUAGGGACUGGGAGGGAAGUAAAAGAGGAGACAGAGUACAAUGAACAGAAUAGAUGCCAAUGGCCUUAUCAGCUUUAACAGAUGAUCUGAAAACUUUAAAGUAACAAGGAAGUUUUUAUUCCCAUAAUUGUUAGUAGUGUCUUUUGCUAGCUCCUCCGAUGUGACAGUGAUUGACCAUUGGCAGCUGGGUCUUCAAACUCUCUUCUAAAAUGUUGCAUCUCUAUGGGGACACAUGAGGAACUUAGUUCUUCUAUCUGGAAGUAGGUGUCCUCUAAGAGUUCUUGUGUUGUGUACUCUGUAUCCUUUUUUUUUUUUUUUGGACUAUGUCUCAGUUGCAUCAAAGCCCCAUUAACAUUGCCCUUUGGGAUCAAAAAGUAGUCCACCCGAGAAGAAAGAGUAGAGUUUUAGAGAACUGGGGUGAGAAUUCUGGGCAGAUGGCCAAGGUGUGGGCUCCAGGCUGAGCUUGCUGACACAUGACAUUGUAUGUUUCAGGUACUGGGACAAGUUUUCAAUGUCAAAAUCUUUGAAGCCACCAGGGCCUUUUUUGUUUUUGUUUUUUGGCUAGGUCUUGGCAGUACUCCUUCAUAUAGUAGUAGGUUCAGAAACUCAGGCUAAGGAAAGCAUCCAGAAAACAUUGUCUGCCUCUGCAACAGUUUGUGGAUAGCUUGUAAUUGUAGUUCUGAUCUUGUCAAUCUGUCUUAUAACUCUAAAUGUGUGGUCUCACCUGGCUAGAUACAGAAAAUACCUAUCUUCUUAUAGAAGCAGGCAAUCCUCAACCCCAUUAAAAAAGUAUGGUUUCUUGGACAUUCCAUCUAAUAGGAAUGCCAGUUUGCCUCCUGAUAUGUUGCCAGUCUGGCCAUUUCAGCAGUCACUAUUCAGCACUAGAGGAGGACUUCAGUAAAAGUUCCUUUGUCAGUAAGUCUUCCACGCAACAUAUUUGUUUCCAGGUCCUAAUGGCAAUUCCUCAGGAUCUGGAGAAAAAAAAAAAAAAAAAAAAAGAAAAGGAUCAACUCUCACGUUUGAGUUUGUCCCAUUCAUCUACAUAAAGACUAUCUAUCAGUUUGAAGUGUCUUUUUGAGAAUCAGAAAGGGGAGAGGAUAUAGGGGGCAAAGGAUGUAUUCUUUGAGAUCCUGCUCUUAAGCAGUGAUUCUUCUCUAGCACUCCUUAUUUCUAGAAUUUUCUAGCCAUCUCUAACAAAAGCAAAGUGCAAAGAGCAUUUAAUACAAACCAAAACAUGAAAUGAUCUUUUGAUAGUUCAGUGUUGUGGCUGUGACUUGGAAUUUUUCACUACAUUUAAAAAAAAAAAAGCCACAUAUGCCCGGGUAGUCUCUGCAUCAAGUCUGAUACCAUUGCUCCGACGUUAUGAGGCUGAAGCAGUUGUGGCUGAUUGAUGUCACUCUUCUAGCCAUCUCCUAUUUCCACAGAGAGAGGCCGGGUUAAUCCAACUCCAGUCUAACUUCGGAGGCAUCAAGGAUUCUAGGCAGCAUCUCCCGUGUUUCUUUUUCCAAGUGAAUUCCUGGAGGAAAACAAUGAGGUCCAUGUGUCUUUGCAUCCCCAGGGACCAGCUCAGUAAUGGGCGUAUAAGAACACGCUGAAAAAAAUUGUUUUGUUUUUGAACGACAGCGAUUUAAGAGUAGUAAGGUCCUCGUAAAUAUAGGACAUUGUACUCGUGUUUUUCUUCCGAGCAUACAAAUAUUUGCAAUGAGGUUGCACCGCAGACUCCACAGCCAUUGUGGCACCUGGGGCUCUGUGACUUGGGAGGCAGAGGAGAUGGAAUGCCGGUGAGAAGAAGGAGAUUGUGGUGUGAAUGUGAGGGAUGAGGGUGAAUUAGCUUCCUACGGCGGCUGUUACAAGUUUACCACAAGAUAAAUGAGUUAAAACAGUACAGAUUUAUUAUCUCACAGUUCUGGAAGACAGAAGUUCAAACUACUGGCAAAGUUCAAAGUGUUGGCAAGGCUGUGCUCCUCAGGAGGCUCUAGAGGAGAACCUUUUUCUUGCCUUUUCCUGUUUCUAGGGGCCACCGGCAUCCUUCGGCUCAUGGCCUCUUCCUCCAUCUUAAAAGCCAGCUUCUGCAAAUUCGUCUCUAAUUCUGACACUACUUCUCUUGCCUCCCUCUCUCACUUAUAGGGGUCCCUGUGAUGACAGUAAGCUCACCCUGAUAAUCGAGGCUAAUCUCCCCAUCUUAGGGUUAGCCUAUUAGCAACCUAAAUUCCACCGGCAACUUUAAUUCCCCCCUUGCCAUGCACCGUGACAUAUUCACAGGUUCUGGGGAGGAGGGCAUGAGCAUCUUUGUCGGGGCAUUGUUCUGUCCAUCACAGAGAAGCACUCAGAGAUUCCGGACUCCAGUAUCCUCAUUGUACACUUGAGGAAGCUUGGGCUCAGAGGCUUUAUGUUAAUUCCAACAGUUUUUGCAACAGGAGGAGGAGAAUAUCUGUCCAGGAGCCCUAAUCAAGACUCAGCAGGAAGCUGGUGGCUUCCUUUCCUUCCUUCUUUUGCUUCCUUCCUGUUCUUCCUGUGCUUCCUUUCAGUUCUUCCUUCUACAUAUGGGGCCCAUCACAUUCCCACUGACUCAGAUGCUGAGGGGCCAGACUGAAGGGACAGUGGCCAUUGCAUCAAGUCAGAGAACGGAUCUGACCCAUCUAGUAGAAGCUUAUUGUUUUGGCAGAAGCACAAGCUCUUAGAGGUGCAGCUGCAGGGUGUGACCUAUUGGGGACAUUGAGCUCAGUGACCAUGGGCCCUGAGAGUCUGAAAUCCUGGAAUUUCUCCCAAAACGAAGUCCAUGUAGGGAAGCCAAAGUGUGAGUCUUACCCGGCUGGUUUACAACUGACUGACAUUUGCUGCCUGGGCAGCUGUUGUGGGUGCCUGGAAACCCUAUUGGACUAGGACUGGCCCCGGCAAAAAACAAGUGUUAUAGCUGCCCAGUGUCCUCUGAGUGGAUGCUGGUGAUUCUGGUAUGGAGCCCAGAUGUAAGGCAGCAGGUGGUCCAGAAGGCACCAGAAGAGGUCUCCUGUCAAAGUCAGGGCCAGAGAAGAAGGCACAGGGAACCUACUGCACGAGACUUUCACUUGCAACGAGCAACCCAUGAUGAGGAGGGAGGAUUCCUGGGGGCAUUGAGUCCCCCAGACACAAGGACCCAAGACCUUCUUGCUUGGAAAGUGAAUUCCUCAGAAUUCCGAGAUGAUGCCAGUCUUGGAGGAAGAUGACAUGAGGACCCAAAACCUUCUUGCUUGGAAAGUGAAUUCCUGAGAAUUCCGAGAUGAUGCCAGUCUUGGAGAAAGAUGACAUGAGGACCCAAAACCUUCUUGCUUGGAAAGUGAAUUCCUCAAAACUCCACAAAGACUCCAGUCUUGGAGGAAGAUGACAUGAGGACCCAAAACCUUCUUGCUUGGAAAGUGAAUUCCUCAGAACUCCACGAAGACUCCAGUCUUGGAGGAAGACGAGGUGUUGAGAGAUAGCUGGGAUCCCUGAGGAAGGCAGCCCCAGUCUCCGGUGGAGAAUUAAGAGGGGCCCAAGCAGAUGGUUGGUGGUGGAAACGUCACCUCAGUAUAGUACUAUGGAGUUUCCUUUCACCCCCAACAGCCGACGGUUUCCAGGGGCGAAGAGUGAAAAUUGAAGCAAGGUGUCUACUGUCCAGCGGUAGACAAGGAGGCAGUGCGCCUGCCACCCCCAAGGAAGAGUCAGUUCAGAAGCACAGCAGCUGCUGGAAACCCAGGAGGUUUCCAGUUCGUUCCUGCUGGGACCUGGCAAGAACUGCACUGUCAAGGCUGCAAGAGGCUCCUGACGGCUUCUGACAUGUACAGAAUGGAAUAAGAGAACCUAGCAGAAAUGGAAGCAGAGGCAAGAGUUCUAGAGGCUGUGAGUCUGAGAUCAGGGUCUGGAGGCCAGGAAAAUGUCAAUGGAAAGCAGCUAGCAUGAAGACCCCACAGUGUUCCUCCCUCUAGUAGUCUGGUAUUAUUUGGAGCUGAGAUGCUCCCAAUAUGGUUGGGACAUUUGUCCCCUCCAAAUCUCAUGUGAGAAUUUGAUCCCCCAUUUUGGGGAUGGGGUCUAAUGGGAGGAGUUUGGGUCAUGACGGGGGACCCCUCAAGAAUGGCUUUGUGCCCUGCUCACCAGGAAUGAAUGAGCUCUCACUCUACUAGUUCACUGGAGAGCUGGUUUUUUAAAGAGCCUGGCGUCUCCCCAACUUUCUCUCUUGCUCCCCCUUCUCACUGUGUGAUAUACCUGCUCCCCUUUGCCAUCCAUCAUGAGUGGAAGCUUCUUGAAGCCUCCACCUAAAGCAGAUGCCGACACUAUGCUUCCUGCACAGCCUGCCAUACCAUGAGCCAAUAAACCUGUUUUCUU
rnacentral:lncRNA from 1 species